AUUGAACGCUGGCGGCAGGCCUAACACAUGCAAGUCGAACGAGUGGAGGACGGAUGAGUAAUGUCUGGGAAACUGCCCGAUGGAGGGAGAUAACUACUGGAAACGGUAGAUAAUACGGCAUACCAUCGGAUGUGCCCAGAUGGUAUUAGCUAGUAGGUGGGGUAAAGGCUAACCAAGGCGACGUGUCAUAGCUGGUCUGAGAGGAUGACCAGCCACACGGGAACUGAGACACGGUGCAGACUCCUACGGUAGGCAGCAGUGGGGAAUAUUGCGCAAUGGGCGCAAGCCUGAUUGAGACAUGACGCGUGUAUGAAUAAGGCCUUCGGGUUGUAAAGUACUUUCAGCGGGGAGGCGUUACCCGCAGAAGAAGCACCGGCUAACUCCGUGCCAGCAGCCGCGGUAAUUC
rnacentral:rRNA from 1 species